rnacentral:rRNA from 1 species
GGGUUGGGAGUGGCGCACGGCUGAGGAACACGUGGGUGACCUGCCCUGGUGUGGGGGACAACGUACCGAAAGGUGCGCUAAUCCCGCAUACGCUCCUACGGGAGGAAAGCAGCGAUGCGCACCAGGAGGGGCCUGCGGCCCAUCAGGUGGUUGGUGAGGUAACGGCUCACCAGGCCGAUGACGGGUCCCUGGUCUGAGAGGACGACCAGGCAGACUGGGACUGAGACACGGCCCAGACUCCUACGGGAGGCAGCAGCAAGGGAUUUUCCGCAAUGGGCGCAAGCCUGACGGAGCAACGCCGCGUGCCGGAGGACGGCCUUCGGGUUGUAAACGGCUUUUAUCGGGGAAGAAACGGACGGUACCCGAGGAAUAAGCCCCGGCUAACUCCGUGCCAGCAGCCGCGGUAAUACGGAGGGGGCAAGCGUUGUCCGGACUUACUGGGCGUAAAGCGUGCGUAGGCGGCAGGGUGCGUCGGUGCUGAAAGCGCCCCGCUUAACGGGGCGAGGGGUACCGAUACGACCCCGCUCGAGGCAGUCAGAGGUUGGUAGAAUUCCGGGUGUAGUUGUGAAAUGCGUAGAUACCCGGAGGAAUGCCGGUGGCGAAAGCGACCAAACUGGGGCUGGCCUGACGCUGAGGCACGAAAGCGUGGGGAGCGAAACCGGAUUAGAUACCCGGGUAGUCCACGCCGUAAACGAUGUCGGCUUGGUGUUCGGCAGUAUGAAAGUGCUGCUGAGUGCCGAAGCUCACGCGCUAAGCCGACCGCCUGGGGACUACGAGCGCAAGCUUACAACUCAAAGGAACUGACGGGGGCCCGCACAAGCAGCGGAGCGUGUGGUUUAAUUCGACGCGACGCGAAGUACCUUACCCAGGUAUGACAUGUGGAUGCAAGCGCACAGAAAUGCGUGACCGGCGAGGGUGCCACACAGGUACUGCAUGGCUCUCGUCAGCUCGUGUCAUGAGAUGUUGGGUUAAGUCCCGCGACGAGCGCAACCCCUGAUGCCAGUUACUUGUGUCUGGUGGGACUGCCUUCGCUAACGGAGGAGGAAGGCGGGGAUGAC